rnacentral:tRNA from 1 species
GUCGGCGUGGCGGAAUUGGUAGACGCGCACGGUUGAGGGCCGUGUGGACUUCGGUCCUUGAGGGUUCAAGUCCCUCCGCCGACA